rnacentral:misc_RNA from 1 species
GAUCCCAAGCCUUCUGGCGAUCUCUUAUAAAGAAAGCCCUCCAUAAUAAAUUGAAAAGGGUCCUUUGGGGAAAAGUUUUCCCUUUGCUAAGAUGAAGCCGGGGAAGGUUUUCCGGUUUAUCCCGGAGGGCUUGUAGCUCAGUUGGUUAGAGCGCGCGCUUGAUAAGCGUGAGGUCGGAGGUUCAAGUCCUCCCAGGCCCACCAAUCAUUCUAUCAAUCUAUAAGCGCUUGUGGAAAUUGCUCAUAGAAAACUUUCUUUAUUCAUUUAUGAAAAAUCUCCUUAUAGAGAGAGACGCUUUUCCCUUUGGGUUUGAAAACUCAAAAUUAAAGGUGUUAAAGUGGCUUUAAAGGAAAAGUGACAAAGGAUAAGGAAUAAUGAUUUAAGUUAUCCCUUUUUGGUGAUCUUGAUUUGGGUGUUUUGAAUGCGUUAUGUUUUUUAGGGGGGCCGUAGCUCAGCUGGGAGAGCACCUGCUUUGCAAGCAGG